GUAAGGAAUAUUGGACAAUGGACGCAAGUCUAAUCCAGCCAUGCCGCGUGAAGGAUUAAGGUCCUCUGGAUUGUAAACUUCUUUUAUAAGGGACGAAAAAAGGCUUUUCUAAGUCGUCUGACGGUACCUUAUGAAUAAGCACCGGCUAACUCCGUGCCAGCAGCCGCGGUAAUACGGAGGGUGCAAGCGUUAUCCGGAUUCACUGGGUUUAAAGGGUGCGUAGGCGGGCAGGUAAGUCAGUGGUGAAAUCCUAGAGCUUAACUCUAGAACUGCCAUUGAUACUAUCUGUCUUGAAUAUUGUGGAGGUAAGCGGAAUAUGUCAUGUAGCGGUGAAAUGCUUAGAUAUGACAUAGAACACCUAUUGCGAAGGCAGCUUACUACGCAUAUAUUGACGCUGAGGCACGAAAGCGUGGGGAUCAAACAGGAUUAGAAACCCCGGUAGUCC
rnacentral:rRNA from 1 species